rnacentral:rRNA from 1 species
UGUGUAGGCGGUUUUCUAAGUUUGGUGUGAAAUCUCCCGGCUUAACCGGGAGGGUGCGCCGAAAACUGGGAGACUAGAGUGCGGGAUGGGAGAGUAGAAUUCCUGGUGUAGCGGUGAAAUGCGUAGAUAUCAGGAGGAAUACCGGUGGUGUAGACGGCUCUCUGGACCGCCACUGACGCUGAGACACGAAAGCGUGGGUAGAAACA